rnacentral:rRNA from 1 species
CCCUUUGUGAACAUACCUAUAACUGUUGCUUCGGCGGGUAGGGUCUCCGUGACCCUCCCGGCCUCCCGCCCCCGGGCGGGUCGGCGCCCGCCGGAGGAUAACCAAACUCUGAUUUAACGACGUUUCUUCUGAGUGGUACAAGCAAAUAAUCAAAACUUUUAACAACGGAUCUCUUGGUUCUGGCAUCGAUGAAGAACGCAGCGAAAUGCGAUAAGUAAUGUGAAUUGCAGAAUUCAGUGAAUCAUCGAAUCUUUGAACGCACAUUGCGCCCGCCAGCAUUCUGGCGGGCAUGCCUGUUCGAGCGUCAUUUCAACCCUCAAGCUCUGCUUGGUGUUGGGGCCCUACAGCUGAUGUAGGCCCUCAAAGGUAGUGGCGGACCCUCCCGGAGCCUCCUUUGCGUAGUAACUUUACGUCUCGCAUUGGGAUCCGGAGGGACUCUUGCCGUAAAACCCCCAAUUUUCCAAAGGUUGACCUCGGAUCAGGUAGGAAUACCCGCUGAACUUAAGCAUAUCAAUAGACCGGAGGA